AGGCAGCAGUAGGGAAUUUUCCGCAUUGUAGGAAAGUCUGACGGAGCAACGCCGCGUGAGAGAAGAAGGCCUUCGGGUCGUAAAGCUUUGUUGUCAGGGAAGAACAAGUACCGGAGUAACUGCCGGUACCUUGACGGUACCUGACCAGAAAGCCACGGCUAACUACGUGCCAGCAGCCGCGGUAAUACGUAGGUGGCAAGCGUUGUCCGGAAUUAUUGGGCGUAAAGCGCGCGCAGGCGGUCCUUUAAGUCUGAUGUGAAAGCCCACGGCUCAACCGUGGAGGGUCAUUGGAAACUGGGGGACUUGAGUGCAGAAGAGGAGAGCGGAAUUCCACGUGUAGCGGUGAAAUGCGUAGAGAUGUGGAGGAACACCAGUGGCGAAGGCGGCUCUCUGGUCUGUAACUGACGCUGAGGCGCGAAAGCG
rnacentral:rRNA from 1 species